CGAAAUAAGUAUAACGUGCAGCUGUUUACAGACAGGCUGGAUGACGUGGUUCACAUAGUGGUGAAGAUCGCUGGCUUAAAUAGAUGGAUUAAUGUGAGGAGAUCAUUGCAAAAGUUUUCAAUUUCAUCAGAGUCAGAUGUGCUACAUGUGUUGAUAACUGGACGGAGUUAAUUACGGACUAUUUCCCCGCACCGGUAGGUGAGGAGACGAGAGGAGAGAGAGACAGCCGGACCUCCAGCUAGGACGCUAACGGUCCGGCUAGUUAGCCAAGAUAAUGCCGGAGAGAGUGAGUUUUGGAGGAAGAUGAGGAGGAAGAUAUUGCGCUCAUGGAUGAGCCGAUGGUAGCAUACAAUGUCUCUGACUGUAGUUAUCUAAACGAGGACAAUGUUAAAGAGACUGCGAUAGCUCGGGAGUACAAGUCGAGCCGCAAGCUUCACAACAGCGGGCCUGCUAGCUGCUGUUCACCGGAGACGAGAGAAGACGUGACCCAGUUAAAGAGAUGACUGAUGAUGAAAACAUUUGGUCCAUCUUGUGAAGCUCCAUACGACUCUAUGAGAGGAUGCAGUGUGAGAAGCAGCAACACCAGCGGACUGCCUACUUCCUUGAUGCAUGUGACAGUUUAAUUAUGAAAUAAUAAUGAACAAAUAUGAAAUAAUAUAAAAUAUAUUCUGUAUUAUUAUAUUAAAAGGGCCAUUUUCUGUAUAUAUUUUUAAUUGUAUGGAUAUGCACUUGUAAGUAACUAAGUAAAUGUGUGCAUGUGGCUUGAUAUUUAAUAUUUUAUAAAUAUUCUUGAUAUUAAUAUUCUUUAAGUAUUAUUAUAUUUAAAUACCCAUCAUAUAUUCUGUAUUACAUCAUAUGUACAGUAUAUUCUUUCAUACUUUAUCAUUAUUGUAUUCCAUAUGUUUUGGAUACUUAUCUACAUGGGCUUCUGGGCCUGUACUGUGUUGUGUAUUGCUUUGAUUUUUGAAUUUAUUGGUGUGUUAUGUUGUUUAACAGAGGGUUUUUUUGCUUUGAUUUUUGAAUUUAGUAGUGUGUUAUGUUGUUUAAUAGAGGGGUUUUGCUGUGAUUUUUAAUUCAGUUAUUUCUUAUUUUUUAAAUAUGUUAUCUUUGAUUUUUAAUUGUGUUCAGUUCAAUAAAGAUGAUGUUAAAGUCA